rnacentral:tRNA from 1 species
CAAGACAUAAUUUAAGAAGAAUAUUAGUUUUGGGGAUUAAUUGUGAGAGUUAGAUUCUCUCUGUCUUGA